AAUCCGUCGACUUUAGAAAUCGUGAGGGUUCAAGUCCCUCHAUCCCCAA
rnacentral:tRNA from 1 species